UGUAUAAUGGGUCAGCGACUUAUAUUCUGUAGCAAGGUUAACCGUAUAGGGGAGCCGAAGGGAAACCGAGUCUUAACUGGGCGUUAAGUUGCAGGGUAUAGACCCGAAACCCGGUGAUCUAGCCAUGGGCAGGUUGAAGGUUGGGUAACACUAACUGGAGGACCGAACCGACUAAUGUUGAAAAAUUAGCGGAUGACUUGUGGCUGGGGGUGAAAGGCCAAUCAAACCGGGAGAUAGCUGGUUCUCCCCGAAAGCUAUUUAGGUAGCGCCUCGUGAACUCAUCUUCGGGGGUAGAGCACUGUUUCGGCUAGGGGGUCAUCCCGACUUACCAACCCGAUGCAAACUGCGAAUACCGAAGAAUGUUAUCACGGGAGACACACGGCGGGUGCUAACGUCCGUCGUGAAGAGGGAAACAACCCAGACCGCCAGCUAAGGUCCCAAAGUCACAGUUAAGUGGGAAACGAUGUGGGAAGGCUCAGACAGCCAGGAUGUUGGCUUAGAAGCAGCCAUCAUUUAAAGAAAGCGUAAUAGCUCACUGGUCGAGUCGGCCUGCGCGGAAGAUGUAACGGGGCUAAACUGUGCACCGAAGCUGCGGCAGCGACGCUUAUGCGUUGUUGGGUAGGGGAGCGUUCUGUAAGCCUGCGAAGGUGUCCUGUGAGGGAUGCUGGAGGUAUCAGAAGUGCGAAUGCUGACAUAAGUAACGAUAAUGCGGGUGAAAAGCCCGCUCGCCGGAAGACCAAGGGUUCCUGUCCAACGUUAAUCGGGGCAGGGUGAGUCGACCCCUAAGGCGAGGCCGAAAGGCGUAGUCGAUGGGAAACGGGUUAAUAUUCCCGUACUUGGUGUUACUGCGAAGGGGGGACGGAGAAGGCUAUGUUGGCCGGGCGACGGUUGUCCCGGUUUAAGCGUGUAGGCUGGUUUUCCAGGCAAAUCCGGAAAAUCAAGGCUGAGGCGUGAUGACGAGGCACUACGGUGCUGAAGCAACAAAUGCCCUGCUUCCAGGAAAAGCCUCUAAGCAUCAGGUAACAUCAAAUCGUACCCCAAACCGACACAGGUGGUCAGGUAGAGAAUACCAAGGCGCUUGAGAGAACUCGGGUGAAGGAACUAGGCAAAAUGGUGCCGUAACUUCGGGAGAAGGCACGCUGACACGUAGGUGAAGUGAUUUACUCA
rnacentral:rRNA from 1 species